rnacentral:rRNA from 1 species
AGUGAACGCUGGCGGUAGGCCUAACACAUGCAAGUCGAACGGCAGCACAGGAGAGCUUGCUCUCUGGGUGGCGAGUGGCGGACGGGUGAGGAAUACAUCGGAAUCUACUCCGUCGUGGGGGAUAACGUAGGGAAACUUACGCUAAUACCGCAUACGACCUACGGGUGAAAGCAGGGGAUCUUCGGCCCUUGCGCGAUUGAAUGAGCCGAUGUCGGAUUAGCUAGUUGGCGGGGUAAAGGCGCACCAAGGCGACGAGCCGUAGCUGGUCUGAGGGGAGGAACAGCCACACGGGGACAGAGACACGGUCAAGACUCCUACGGGAGGCAGCAGUGGGGAAUAUUGGACAAUGGGCGCAAGCCUGAGCCAGCCAUACCGCGUGGGAGAAGAAGGCCUUCGGGUUGUAAAGCCCUUUUGUUGGGAAAGAAAUCCAGCUGGCUAAUACCCGGUUGGGAUGACGGUACCCAAAGAAUAAGCACCGGCUAACUUCGUGCCAGCAGCCGCCGUAA